UAGGGAAUCUUCGGCAAUGGGGGGAACCCUGACCGAGCAACGCCGCGUGAGUGAACAAGGUUUUCGGAUCGUAAAGCUCUGUUGUUAAGGAAGAACGAGUGUGAGAAUGGAAAGUUCAUGCUGUGACGGUACUUAACCAGAAAGGGACGGCUAACUACGUGCCAGCAGCCGCGGUAAUACGUAGGUCCCGAGCGUUGUCCGGAUUUAUUGGGCGUAAAGCGAGCGCAGGCGGUUAGAAAAGUCUGAAGUGAAAGGCAGUGGCUCAACCAUUGUAGGCUUUGGAAACUGUUUAACUUGAGUGCAGAAGGGGAGAGUGGAAUUCCAUGUGUAGCGGUGAAAUGCGUAGAUAUAUGGAGGAACACCGGUGGCGAAAGCGGCUCUCUGGUCUGUAACUGACGCUGAGGCUCGAAAGCGUGGGGAGCGAACAGG
rnacentral:rRNA from 1 species